rnacentral:misc_RNA from 1 species
GAUGAAGAACGUAGCGAAAUGCGUUAAGUAGUGUGAAUUGCAGAAUUCAGUGAAUCAUCGAAUCUUUGAACGCACCUUGCGCCCUUUGGCUAUUCCGAAGGGCAUGCCUGUUUGAGUAUCAUGAACACCUCAACUCUCAUGGUUUUUCCAUGAUGGGCUUGGACUUUGGGGGUCUUGCCGGCCUAUGGUCAGCUCCUCUUAAAUGAAUCAGCUUGCCAGUGUUUGGUGUGGCAUCACAGGUGUGAUAACUAUCUACGCUUGUGGUUUUCCAUCAAGUAACCUUCAGUGAUGGAGGUUCGCUGGGGCUCAUAAAGGCCUCUCCUCGGUGAGGAUGGCUCCUUUGAACGUUUGAUCUCAAAUCAGGUAGGACUACCCGCUGAACUUAAGCAUAUCAAUAAGCGGAGGA